UCCUAAAUUCCUGUUGAUAAAUGUUUUUCCCGCGGUUUUGUUUCUAUAACAUUCACCAAACAUUUCACAGGAUCAUCAAGAGCGCCUUUGUGUGUUUGCCAGGAUAUCGUCAAGCAGUACUGCAACCUGUUAGUUUAAAAAAGAACGAAGUGGGCGUGUGUUCACUGAUUUCAAAGUUUUGCUAAUACCAGGCACCACAGGACUGAAAAUAAGUAAACAAAAACUGCCAGGAAAGCUGAUAUCCAGUUGCAGGUUUGCCACCCCUGACCAUGUGCGCCUGUCAGGCUCUGGAGCGUGCACGAGACACUCGGUCCAGCGAAAGGACCAUCAUAAUGGAACAUCUUCCAGUCAUUGCUGUCGAUCAGAGCAUGCGGUGACAAUGGAAGAAAAGGAGAGACCCAUCCAAGGCAGAGAGUCCCGUAAGGCAAGCGGCGCCCAGGAAUGGCUCGCGAAGGCGGCACACGCGCGCAUACACACACUGCUCGUCCAGUGGAGGAGGCACCCUUACCUUGGUUGCGGAUGGCUUGCUGGCUCUCCAAGCAGUUGGGCAGGUAAGGGCCGUUGGGGAACAUCCGGGCUUGGCUGGAGGGCGCUUGGCUGGGCGGCGGGGGCGGUGCGAAGGGGCCGUAGCGACAGGCUCCGGCGGUGCCUGUGAAUUGGCCGGAGAAGUGGACGGUGAAGGCGCUGAGGCACUGCUCCUCGUGCGGCUCGGUGGCGCUCCAGCUGGGCUCCUGCUUGAUGAAGGCCGAGUGCGGGGCAAGCGAGCCGUAGGAGGCGCCGGGCGGGAAGUCCAGCACCGGGGCCCACUGCGCCGCGCUGCUCACCGGCAUGGGACAGUUGCUGUUGCCCGGCAGGGAGGGCACCGAGGGAGACAGCAGCGCGUUGAGGUCGCGCACGUCGGAGCCCAUUUGCUCGCCGCAAACUUUUCGCCUCGGCGCCGGGAACCACUCGUUGCCUCCGUUGGCGGCGGAGCCGACGCACUUGUUCCAAGCGUUUUGGGCCCGGCCCGGGUCCGGCGGAAGGCACCAGGCGGCCGAGCUCAGCCCUUUCGGGGACGCUUGGUCCGGGUUGGGCAGGCAAGUCCCCGGCUCCAGCCCUGCGGGAGCGGGCAAAAGCGAGAGCGCGAGGUUGGUCUCCAGGGUCGCCCUUUGGUCCGACUGACAGCAGCGAGAGGAGUGUGGAGACAGCGAGAGCACGCAAAGCGGAGAGCAGGACCGGCGGAAAAAAGCUGGGAGUAAGACCUGGCCUGCUAAACUGGCUGCGAGGGAGGAGGGAGGCACUGACUGACUGACUGACUGAGGAGCCGCCUUGAACUUCUUACCUCAGCUGCGGCUUUGCCCUCAAGUCCCCAAAGCUCGGCUAAUUGAGAGGGGCCAUCCGCGUGAAGCGGCGGCGUAGGAGGAGGAGUCAGCAGCGCGCGGGCGCUCCAUUCACACUUCCCUCAGUGACCCAGCCUUCUUCGAGCGCCGGGAAUGCCACCCGCUGGGUUCGGGGGAUGGGACCCGAUCGCUUUCGCCCUCAGGCCAUACGCCAGGCUUAGGGGCGUAAGACAGACGAAACCUGCCCCACCCCACCCUACCCCACUCCUUGGAGUCUUGAACUCAGUCGCCAAAUCUAAACGCCCGGCUUCCUUUCCCGACCCUCAGCAGUCGAAGCUGCUGAGGCAAAAUAUGAGGCGGUUGGUUGACUGCAGGGGUUUAGUAUGUGAAGGGAGGUAUGUCGAGUACGGAGAAGGGCCGUAGCCCAGUGGCAGAGCCUCUGUUUCGCAUGCCGACGGUUCAGCCCCCGGCACCUCCAAGGAGGGCAGAGAAUGUCCCCUGCCUGAAAUCCUGAAGAGUCCAUUUGGGACAGUAUUGAGCGAGGUGUAUCAAGGGUCAGACUCCGCAUGUGUGUGUGUAUCAGCCUCCUAUCUUCCUAGGAAGGGCAGGGAAGGAAAGACAAGGGCCACAGAUAGUGUGGUGGGGAGGGAAACUUCCCUUGGUAGAAGGAGCUUUCUGUGAAGUGGCUAGCAUUGCGGGGGACUAUGUCUUGAGAAUCCGCUCUGCCAUCUUCUAAUAACACACAAGGAUUUUAACUUCAUUUUUUAAAAAAAUUAAAGACUCCUAAUUUUGGUCAUAGAUCCCCUGAUGCCUCCAGUGUUACGUGGUGUGUGCCUAUGAGGAAGACGAACACUCUCCGCCCUGUUCCUCUUUAGAUCAGCUUUGUUAGCCGGCCGCCUGCCAGGCAAGAGUGCUGCUUAUUAAGAAUAUGUCUCAGUGAGCUGCCCCGAGGUCGAAUCCUGCUUUAGGGCUCUGCCACGAGGUUCUAUGGGUUAGGUCUGGCUAAGGGUGAUUUUGGCAUGAAGGAGCUGGCCUAGCUCACCUUGCAGCUCUGCUACUGAGCUGCAGAUCAGAAAGUCUCCGAUUCGAAUCUCACCUCAGCCAGGAGGUCUUAGGUAAGCCCCCCCGUCUCGUCCCACCCUUAUCUGCAUGCGUGAAUGACAAUCACCUUCCAAGCUAGUUUUAAGAAUGGUCAUGGACUUUGAACAUGGUGAAGCGCUAUAUAAAUGCAGAGUAUUAAUGAGCCAGUAGAUACACAGAUGUCAAGAAGAUGACAUCUCCUGAAAAGGUGAAGGGAAGAAUCUGACGACGUUCUAAUAGGAAAAAGAAAGGGAGAAUGGUUUUAAGGAUAUCACCCCUUCCAUCGCACUUCUUAAGCCAGGUGGUUGUGUUAAUAUGGCCCAAGUACUAAAACAAGGAGGGUGGGGUUUCUCUUCAACAGGGUUUAACGUAGUUAGGGGUUCGUGGUCCUUCUAGUGGAUGCUUCACACCCUAGACCCAAAUCACAGUGAACUUGCUCCAUCAAACAGCUGCGUUGGACAAAUGGAAAGCGAGAUUUCCACGCCUCUGCCACCAUUCCUUCCCAGGCCGUAAUCUUGAGCUGCCCUGCAUAAUAUUUCCCGUUCGGCUCUUCUUCCUCCUUUAACAGCUAUGAAAGUAUGCAUGAUUAAGGCUGCGAUCCCAUGCACACUUACUGGGAAGUUAGUCCUCCUGAACUCAGUUCAAGAACUGAUUUCUGAGUAAACAUAAAAAUAAUUAGGCUGUGUAAGAGAGCAACAUUUAAGGAAGUGUGGUUCUCAUCCCAUGUACUGAAGCAGAACCUUUUAAAUUUCCCUUGAAAUUAAAAACCUUCUCGGAGCAUCAGCCACCCAAGGAGUCGCCAGUAUAGGCGGCGCCAGCGAGGGAAUGGACCCGCCUUAUAUAUCCUGAUCCCUCCGGUUGCUUGAAGGGAAGGCUCUUUUCGCCUCCCCCCCCCAUAUAUUUUGCUCAUCAGAGAGUCUUGUAGCACCAUAAAGACUACACUCCUCUGAAAACAUUAAAACAAAUUCUGGUAUCACCAGAAUCUUCCCAAGGAUCUCCCCACUCUCCUGCUUCCGUGAAUUUCCAAGAGAGGCAUUCCAACACUUGACGAAGAAAUACGGCCAUCCAAGCAACCAGCUUACCCAGUGGCGAUGGGCAUACUGCGGCAAAUUACCACUUGGUAAAUGGUCCGCCCGUAUACCGUUCGCUUACAGGGCCUGGUCUAACUUCACCUGGUGAGUUUUACCGUCAGGACCGGCUCAGCAAAUUUUGCCACUUGAGAGGAAGGUCAAGAUGAUGCCCCUCCCACAUA